AUGAUGGGGAAGCUUCGGCACCGCAUCGAGCCCUGGCAGGGCCGAUGGCUCUUGAAAGCGGCCCAGAUGGUGCUCAUUAAUUCAUCCCUCUCCAGCCUGCUCUUAUUCAUCAUGAGCUUGUACAGCCUUCCCGAGACUCUACAUCUUGAGAUUGCCACAGUUCAAGGACGUUUCUUCUGGGCCGGCGAGGGCGAUAAGCAGAAGUACCACAUGGUUCGGUGGUCGGAGAUAUGUAAACCGCUUGAUCAGGGCGGUCUCGGGAUCAUGCCCUCCAAACGCAUGAACAUAGCCCUCACGACUCGGUGGCUCUGGCGGAUUACCAACGGAGAGGGUGGCUUGUGGCUGCACCUCAUUCAGCAUAAAUACCUCCGUGGCCAACCUCUCGCCUUCUGCCAGUGGUCUGGGGGCUCUCAGUUCUGGCAAUCCGCCAUCCAGCUCCUUCCAGUCCUCCGCAUCGGGACCUCGAUCGCGGUUGGU
rnacentral:rRNA from 1 species